rnacentral:rRNA from 1 species
AUUGAACGCUGGCGGCAGGCCUAACACAUGCAAGUCGAACGGUAACAGGAAACAGCUUGCUGUUUCGCUGACGAGUGGCGGACGGGUGAGUAAUGUCUGGGAAACUGCCUGAUGGAGGGGGAUAACUACUGGAAACGGUAGCUAAUACCGCAUAACGUCGCAAGACCAAAGAGGGGGACCCUCGGGCCUCUUGCCAUCGGAUGUGCCCAGAUGGGAUUAGCUUGUUGGUGGGGUAACGGCUCACCAAGGCGACGAUCCCUAGCUGGUCUGAGAGGAUGACCAGCCACACUGGAACUGAGACACGGUCCAGACUCCUACGGGAGGCAGCAGUGGGGAAUAUUGCACAAUGGGCGCAAGCCUGAUGCAGCCAUGCCGCGUGUAUGAAGAAGGCCUUCGGGUUGUAAAGUACCUUCAGCGGGGAGGAAGGGAGUAAAGUUAAUACCUUGGCUCAUUGACGUUACCCGCAGAAGAAGCACCGGCUAACUCCGUG